rnacentral:rRNA from 1 species
GGUUUGAUUAUGGCUCCAGAUUGAACGCUGGCAGGAUGCUUUACAUGCAAGUCGAACGGCAGCACGGACUUCGGUCUGGUGGCGAGUGGCGAACGGGUGAGUAAUGUAUCGGAACGUGCCUAGUAGCGGGGGAUAACUGCGCGAAAGCGUAGCUAAUACCACAUACGCCCUUCGGGGAAAGCGGGGACCUUCCCGGGCCUCGCACUAUUAAGCGGCCGAUAUCGGAUUAGCUAGUUGGUGGGGUAACGGCUCACCAAGGCGACACGUAGCUGGUUUGAGAGGACGACCAGCCACACUGGGACUGAGACACGGCCAGGCUCCACGGGAGGCAGCAGUGGGGAAUUUUGGACAAUGGGGGAAACCCUGAUCCAGCCAUCCCGCGUGUGCGAUGAAGGCCUUCGGGUUGUAAAGCACUUUUGGCAGGAAACGGCCUGGGAUAAUACCCGAUGCAGCUGACGGUACCAGAAUGGCACCGGCUAACUACACUGGCAGCCGCGGUAAUACGUAGGAGUGCAAGCGUUAAUCGAAUUACUGGACGUAAAGCGUGCCGGGCGGUUCGGAAAGAAAGAUGUGAAAUCCCAGGCUUAACUUUGGAACUGCAUUUUUAACUACCGAGCUAGAGUGUGUCAGAGGGAAUUGGAAUUCCGCGUGUAGCAGUGAAAUGCGUAGAUAUGCGGAGAAGACUGGAAAACAGCGAGGCAGCCUCCUGGGAUAACACUGACGCUCAUGCACGAAAGCGUGGGGAGCAAACAGGAUUAGAUACCUGGUAGUCCACGCCCUAAACGAUGUCAACUAGCUGUUGGGGCCUUCGGGCGCUUGGUAGCGCAGCUAACGCGUGAAGUUGACCGCCUGGGGAGUACGGUCGCAAGAUUAAAACUCAAAGGAAUUGACGGGGACCGCACAAGCGGUGGAUGAUGUGGAUUAAUUCGAUGCAACGCGAAAAACCUUACCUACCCUUGACAUGUCUGGAAUCCCGAAGAGAUUUGGUGGUGUAAGCAUCGCAAGAGAACCGGAACACAGGUGCUGCAUGGCUGUCGUCAGGCUCGUGUCGUGAGAUGUUGGGUUAAGUCCCGCAACGAGCGCAACCCUUGUCAUUAGUUGCUACGAAAGGGCACUCUAAUGAGACUGCCGGUGACAAACCGGAGGAAGGUGGGGAUGACGUCAAGUCCUCGCGGCCCUUAUGGGUAGGGCUUCACGUCAUACAAUGGUCGGGACAGAGGGUCGCCAACCCGCGAGAGGCCAAUCCAGAAACCCGAUCGUAGUCCGGAUCGCAGUCUGCAACUCGACUGCGUGAAGUCGGAAUCGCUAGUAAUCGCGGAUCAGCAUGUCGCGGUGAAUACGUUCCCGGGUCUUGUACACACCGCCCGUCACACCAUGGGAGUGGGUUUUACCAAGUAGUUAGCCUAACCGUAAGGAGGCGAUUACCACGGUAGGAUUCAUGACUGGGGUGAAGUCGUAACAAGGUAG